rnacentral:tRNA from 1 species
GGGCCUCUAGCUCAUGCCUGGUUAGAGCAGCGGACUUAGCAAAGGCUCACCUAAACCAUGCGGCUUGGCAUGGUGAGUCGUGAAUGGGUUGCCUUGGGGUAAGUUAGCUCUGCCCCCUGGUAGAACUGCUCAAAUUCGGGGAAACCUCUGCUGCUCGCAGCGUGGCAAUCCCGAGCGAAGCUCUCUUUGAGAGAACGUGUAGAGACUGAACGGGCAGGUCGUAAAGACAAGAGACAGUCCAGACCACAAACCCGAAAGGGGCGGCGAAAGCCGUAGCUGGUUAGCAUAAUCCGUUGGUGCCGUGUUCGACUCACGGGAGGCCCACCA